GACCAGGUAGCUCAAUCGGUAGAGCAUCCGGCUUAAGUGUUCGGAGGUCCCGGGUUCGAACCCCGGUCUGGCCG